rnacentral:tRNA from 1 species
GCCCCUGUGGCGCAAUGGUAGCGCAUCAGACUUCUAAUCUGGGGAUUGCGGGUUCGAGUCCCGCCAGGGGUU